rnacentral:rRNA from 1 species
UACGUAGGGGGCAAGCGUUGUCCGGAUUUAUUGGGCGUAAAGAGCUCGUAGGCGGUUUGGUAAGUCUGGUGUGAAAUCUCCACGCUCAACGUGGAGGGGCCACCCGAUACUGCCAUGACUGGAGUCCGGUAGAGGAGUGUGGAAUUCCCGGUGUAGGGGUGAAAUCCGUAGAUAUUGGAAAGAACACCGGCCGCGAAGGCGUUUCACUGGCUCAUUACUGACGCUCAGGGACGAAAGCUAGGGGAGCAAACGGG